UGCACUGUGUGGUAUCUGCAGCCAGCUGCUCCAUCAGCUGAUCUGUUCAUUAGUCAGUGCUACAGUGAAACAACAUGUGGCAUCGUUGGUCUGAGGCUAUGUGCCUACAGUCCUGGUAGAUGUGCUGUGACAUCA
ensembl:snoRNA small nucleolar RNA SNORA8